GUGAGGAAUAUUGGUCAAUGGGCGAGAGCCUGAACCAGCCAAGUCGCGUGAAGGAUGACUGUCUUAUGGAUUGUAAACUUCUUUUAUACGGGAAUAACAAGAGUCACGUGUGACUCCCUGCAUGUACCGUAUGAAUAAGCAUCGGCUAACUCCGUGCCAGCAGCCGCGGUAAUACGGAGGAUGCGAGCGUUAUCCGGAUUUAUUGGGUUUAAAGGGUGCGUAGGCGGCCUGUUAAGUCAGCGGUGAAAUCUAGGAGCUUAACUCCUAAAUUGCCAUUGAUACUGGCGGGCUUGAGUGUAGAUGAGGUAGGCGGAAUGCGUGGUGUAGCGGUGGAAUGCAUAGAUAUCACGCAGAACUCCGAUUGCGAAGGCAGCUUACUAAGGUACAACUGACGCUGAAGCACGAAAGCGUGGGUAUCAAACAGGAUUAGAAACCCCGGUAGUCC
rnacentral:rRNA from 1 species